rnacentral:lncRNA from 1 species
AUCUAUAAAAGUAUAACUAGCACCAAUGAGCUAGAACUAAAUGCUUAUUCACUUCUUCAUCCUAGAGCUUGUGACGAAACAUGAACGAACGCCAGCAUCUACAUGUUAUAGAACAAAAAAUGGUUAGGGAAAAAAUAAAAGCAAUCAAUGAAACAAAACAGGACUACACCAUAUCACAUGAAGUUCCAUGUGAGCUAGAAUAUGGCCAACUGCACGAUGCACUGCUGAUACAUGGAUAUAUGCCUACUAAUAUUAACAUACUGAUCUAAUACAGAGCAUAGGCAUCAUGCAUACCCUAAGCAUAUACAAACAGAUGGUAUUCAAGAUGAUGUGCUGCAUAUGCAAAAUAAAUCAAGAAACUACAACAGGGAACAGGAAACAGAGCCUCAAAGUGUUCACUUGUCAUGUUUUGUCUGCCAUUUUGAGAUCGACACGCACCAACCAAACAAACAUGAUUGCUUUAUUCCUUUUGAAUUAAAACAAGAAUAUGGUGUUCCACCUUAUACUACAACAUCAUCAGGAUUAAAACAACACAUUUGUAGUCAGAGUGCUGGAUGAGACAUAUCAAUUGAAACCAACUAGAACAGGUGAGCCAGGGAUAAGUAGCAGCAGGAAAAUAAUGGUACAUUCACAACUUCAGUUCAGGAAAAUAUCACCACAUGUAUCAGUAUACAUGCAGCAAUAGUAUCAUUGAGUACAGCAAAACAGCAGCUUGACCCAUAUAAGUCACAACUCUAAAGAAAGAAAGAAAGAAAGAAAGAACAAGUUUAACUAGCUAUGUAUUCAUAGUUGAGAGUUAAGCAAUUUGUUUGUUUAUGCUGUAACUGACAGACCUAGUACAAGAAACAAGCAAAGUGAAACAGUAUUGACCAAUUCGAUGGCAAUACAAGCUAAGUAACUUAGCUAGUAGACGACCAUCCAAUCCAUGAUGUAGCAGCAGGUGCAAAUAUGAUAUGAUGUGAAGAAGAAGCUAGCUGGAGAGGUUGGGGAUGAAACCAAAAUUACAAACCAUUGUCGGACCUCACAUCACCACUGUUUUAUCGUUUUAUAAGCAACCGGAAACUAUGCAGAGAGCAGACUGGACAGUAAAGGAAUUAUCAAGCAGAGGAAAAUAGCAGCGUGGCCAUCAACUCAUAGCCCUGAAGAAAGAAAGAACCAAUAGGGUCAGCUACUUAUUUAUUCAGAAUUGAGAGUUGAGCAAUCAUCAGAAAACUAAAGAUACUGCUUAGCUAACUAAAUAACACAUCAUUCAGUCACACGGUAUAAUUCUGACUAUAAUAUAAGCAAAGAACUAAAGACACUACGUACUUAGAACUCAAUUAAAAGUGAGAAUGAUUUAUGCAAACAAUAUGAUUUUAUUUGUUUAUAUUAGUAAAAACAAGUCUAUCAGGUAAGAUCAAGAACACUAAUACUAACACAGACAUAUCUUCCUUUAUGUGAACAAGUGUGCUUCCUUCAUUAAUUAGUAGUAAUUGUUCCAUGCUAAUACAAGCACACGCCCUGACCUAUCGAAGUCUGAAUCUAAUUAAAUCGCACCAUGGACGUGUCAUAUCACCAAGGCAAGUACUAGUAAAUCUUUGCACCAUUUUUUAGAUAGAUAAAAAUGUAGUUGUACUCAUCCUAACUAGCGUUGUGUAGCAGCGCUAGAAGAAAGGCGGUUUUCAGUAUACUACAUGGCGUGUCAAAAAAAUUCCAAAUUUCUAUUCUGUUAUUUCCAUGUACCAAACUCAAGCUACAGAACGAAUCACAUAACUGCUAUAGUGAUUCUAUCCAGAUUCUGAAACCAUGUGGAAGUAUAAAUGGAUCUUCACUAGCCAUUAUUUAAACUGAUCAGAAUUGCAAAAGGAGGUGAAUAUUUGCAUAUUUAAACUGAUAACUGAAGGGAGGAGGGGAGCAAGGUGGCCACCGUGGUUGUGGGCGACGGUCGCUGGCUCAACUUUGUCCAAGUGAAGGCAAUCUGGAGUCUGAAGAAACCUUCAGCAUUUGAAAAACUGCAACCUGAGAAUAUCGUAGGCACUCACACUGCACAUGCCAACUAGAGUUCAUUCUGAAUUUCUGUUAGACACAAAUCACCAAGGCACAACUAGGCAUAGCAAUUAUAUGUUCUAAAAGGGCUGCGUCAAACAAGAACGAAGUACAGAUAAGGGAUUUCAAGCCCUUGUGUGACGCCAAAAUGUUCUGUGCCAGCCCCAGUAUGCAGCUAUCCUUUUGCUGAAUGUUGAACCAUUUAGAUCGUUAACUAUCGCUGAAGAACAAAAACAACAUGUAAAAUGCCACCAUCAGAUCAGAACUCACGUAAACCUACAGACCAGGAAAAUGCAUCACGAGUUGUAUGCUCACCUUGUCACGUAAACCUACAGACCAGAUCAGCACGGCAGCGGUUGCUCAUCCGCCAUGCGUUUGAAGAUGAGGAACCUGAGCAACUCGAACUUGAAGUAUAUGAAGCUCCC